rnacentral:lncRNA from 1 species
AAGGGAUCCAAAAAGUGGGAAAACUUGAAGUAACUGAGCGUUGGCAAUAACAGAAACACUCCUAGGGUUCCAGAGAAGAGAGGUCAGGAUCUCACAAAACUGCAAAGUACUCAGCGCGUGUCAAAAUGGACAGAUAGAGGGGGAUGGUAGAAACUAUCCCCGAACCGUGUCCGUUAAUAAAAUCAGUAAUCGAUCUGCUCUGGGGAACGGCCAGUAAAUCUCAAAGCUGCGAACACGAAAACCACCGUAAUCCCAGAUGUCAGCGUGUUGCGGGGAGUCAGACCCAGGGGAGUUUGUAUCGGGAUCCAUCCGAAAGGUGGACCCUGAAAAUGAAGCUGCACCGUGAGAUCUAGAGCUCUUCAGGCUUAACCAUAACCACCAACUGCAACCAGUUAGAAGCUCCUUAAAGGUGUGUCUUCUAGGAGAAGCC